rnacentral:rRNA from 1 species
GUUGUAUGGUUAAGUGACUAAGCGUAUACGGUGGAUGCCUUGGCAAAUAGAGGCGAUGAAGGACGUGUAAGUCUGCGAAAAGCUGUGGUGAGCUGACAAAACGCAUUUGAGCCACAGAUGUCCGAAUGGGGGAACCCACACAUUUAUGUGUAUCUGCAACUGAAUACAUAGGUUGUAGAGGCAAACGAGGGGAACUGAAACAUCUAAGUACCCUUAGGAAAAGAAAUCAACCGAGAUUCCCUUAGUAGCGGCGAGCGAAAGGGGAGCAGCCGAUAAGUAAAGUAUUAGUGGAAUCUUCUGGAAAGUUGAGCGAUACAGGGUGAUAGCCCCGUACAUGAAGGUACUUUAUUUACAUAUUAAGUAGGUCGGGACACGUGUUAUCUUGACUGAAGAUGGGGGGACCAUCCUCCAAGGCUAAAUACUCCUAUUUGACCGAUAGUGAACCAGUACCGUGAGGGAAAGGCGAAAAGAACCCCUGUGAGGGGAGUGAAAUAGAACCUGAAACCGUAUACGUACAAGCAGUGGGAGCCCUUCGGGGUGACUGCGUACCUUUUGUAUAAUGGGUCAGCGACUUAUAUUUAGUAGCAAGGUUAACCGUAUAGGGGAGCCGUAGCGAAAGCGAGUGUUAACUGCGCGUCUAGUUGCUAGGUAUAGACCCGAAACCCGGUGAUCUAGCCAUGGGCAGGUUGAAGGUUGAGUAACAUCAACUGGAGGACCGAACCCACUAACGUUGAAAAGUUAGGGGAUGACUUGUGGCUGGGGGUGAAAGGCCAAUCAAACCGGGAGAUAGCUGGUUCUCCCCGAAAUCUAUUUAGGUAGAGCCUCGGAUGAAUACCACAGGGGGUAGAGCACUGUUAAGGCUAGGGGGUCAUCCCGACUUACCAACCCUUUGCAAACUCCGAAUACCUGUGAGUACUAUCCGGGAGACACACGGCGGGUGCUAACGUCCGUCGUGAAGAGGGAAACAACCCAGACCGCCAGCUAAGGUCCCAAAAUAUUGCUAAGUGGGAAACGAUGUGGGAAGGCUAAGACAGCUAGGAGGUUGGCUUAGAAGCAGCCAUCCUUUAAAGAAAGCGUAAUAGCUCACUAGUCGAGUCGGCCUGCGCGGAAGAUGUAACGGGGCUAAGCAAUAUACCGAAGCUGCGGCAAAGUCCUUUGGACUUUGGGUAGGGGAGCGUUCUGUAAGCCGCUGAAGGUGAACUGUGAGGUUUGCUGGAGGUAUCAGAAGUGCGAAUGCUGACAUGAGUAACGAUAAUGGGGGUGAAAAACCCCCACGCCGGAAGACCAAGGUUUCCUGUCCCAUGCUAAUCAGGGCAGGGUAAGUCGGCCCCUAAGGCGAGGCAGAAAUGCGUAGUCGAUGGGAAACGGGUUAAUAUUCCCGUACUUAUAUAAUCAGUGAUGGAGGGACGGAGAAGGCUAGGCAAGCUUGGCGUUGGUAGUCCAAGUGAAAGUGCGUAGGUUGAGAGUUUAGGUAAAUCCGGACUCUUAAGACUGAGACACGAGACGAGCCACUAAGGUGGUGAAGUUGUUGAUGCCCUGCUUCCAGGAAAAGCUUCUAAACUUAUGAUUAUAUGAACCGUACCCCAAACCGACACAGGUGGUCAGGUAGAGAAUACUAAGGCGCUUGAGAGAACUCGGGUGAAGGAACUCGGCAAAAUUGUACCGUAACUUCGGGAGAAGGUACGCCCCUGAGUGUGAUGAGACUUGCUCUUUGAGCAUUCGGGGGUCGCAGUGAAUAGGUGGCUGGAACUGUUUAUUAAAAACACAGCACUGUGCAAAAUCGAAAGAUGACGUAUACGGUGUGACGCCUGCCCGGUGCCGGAAGGUUAAUUGAUGGGGUUAGCUUCGGCGAAGCUCUUGAUCGAAGCCCCGGUAAACGGCGGCCGUAACUAUAACGGUCCUAAGGUAGCGAAAUUCCUUGUCGGGUAAGUUCCGACCUGCACGAAUGGCGUAAUCAUGGCCACGCUGUCUCCACCCGAGACUCAGUGAAAUUGAAAUCGCAGUGAAGAUGCUGUGUACCCGCACCUAGACGGAAAGACCCCGUGAACCUUUACUACAGCUUGGCACUGAACAUUGAACCUACUUGUGUAGGAUAGGUGGGAGGCUUUGAAUCCAGGACGCCAGUUCUGGUGGAGCCG